rnacentral:sRNA from 1 species
GCGGGGCCCCGCGAGGACGCGACGCCCAUGGACGCCUAUCUGCGGAAACUGGGCUUGUAUCGGAAACUGGUCGCCAAGGACGGGUCGUGCCUGUUCCGGGCCGUGGCGGAGCAGGUAUUGCACUCUCAGUCUCGCCAUGUUGAAGUCAGAAUGGCCUGUAUUCACUAUCUUCGAGAGAACAGAGAGAAAUUUGAAGCGUUUAUAGAAGGAUCAUUUGAAGAAUAUUUAAAGCGUUUGGAAAAUCCACAGGAAUGGGUAGGACAAGUGGAAAUAAGUGCCCUUUCUCUUAUGUACAGGAAAGAUUUUAUAAUUUAUCGGGAACCAAAUGUUUCUCCUUCACAAGUAACUGAAAAUAAUUUUCCUGAAAAGGUGUUACUGUGUUUUUCAAAUGGAAAUCAUUAUGAUAUUGUGUAUCCCAUAAAGUAUAAAGAAAGCUCUGCUAUGUGUCAGUCUCUCCUUUAUGAAUUGCUGUAUGAGAAGGUAUUUAAAACUGAUGUUAGUAAAAUUGUGAUGGAACUAGACACGUUGGAAGUAGCUGAUGAAGAUAACAGUGAAAUAUCAGAUUCAGAGGAUGACAGUUGCAAGAGUAAAACUGCUGCUGCUGCUGCUGAUGUGAAUGGAUUUAAACCUUUGUCAGGCAAUGAGUCAAGUCAGGAUCAUCUACUCAGAAA